rnacentral:rRNA from 1 species
ACGCUCGACACCUACGGGAGGCAGCAGUGAGGAAUAUUGGUCAAUGGACGCAAGUCUGAACCAGCCAUGCCGCGUGCAGGAUGACGGCUCUAUGAGUUGUAAACUGCUUUUGUACGAGGGUAAACGCAGAUACGUGUAUCUGUCUGAAAGUAUCGUACGAAUAAGGAUCGGCUAACUCCGUACCAGCAGCCGCAGUAAUCUGAGCGGGCUGGCAAGGC